AACCUAUUAGCUCAAAUGGUAGAGCACUAUGCAACUGCAUAGGGGAUGUAGGUUCGAUUCCUACAUAGGUUG
rnacentral:tRNA from 1 species